UACGGAGGUGGCAAGCGUUGCUCGGAUUCAUUGGGUGUAAAGGGUCGGUAGGCGGUUUGGUAAGUGCCCGGUGAAAUUCCACGGCUUAACUGUGGAGCGUUCGGGUAGACUGCCGAACUUGAGGGCUGGAGGGGCAAGCGGAAUUCCCGGUGUAAGAGUGAAAUCUGUAGAUAUCGGGAGGAACACCAGUGGCGAAGGCGGCUUGCUGGACAGCACCUGACGCUGAGCGACGAAAGCGUGGGGAGCAAACAGG
rnacentral:rRNA from 1 species